rnacentral:rRNA from 1 species
AUACGUAGGGUGCGAGCGUUGUCCGGAAUUACUGGGCGUAAAGAGCUCGUAGGUGGUUUGUCGCGUCGUCUGUGAAAUUCCGGGGCUUAACUCCGGGCGUGCAGGCGAUACGGGCAUAACUUGAGUACUGUAGGGGAGACUGGAAUUCCUGGUGUAGCGGGGAAAUGCGCAGAUAUCAGGAGGAACACCGGUGGCGAAGGCGGGUCUCUGGGCAGUAACUGACGCUGAGGAGCGAAAGCAUGGGUAGCGAACAGGAUUAGAUACCCUGGUAGUCCAUGCCGUAAACGGUGGGCGCUAGGUGUAGGGGUCUUCCACGACUUCUGUGCCGUAGCUAACGCAUUAAGCGCCCCGCCUGGGGAGUACGGCCGCAAGGCUAAAACUCAAAUGAAUUGGCGGGG